GUAUAAUUAACAAUAUUAAUAUGUUCUCACAAUAUAAAUU
rnacentral:sRNA from 1 species